UCUUGUGCCAGUUUUCAAAGGGAAUGCUUCCAGAUUUCGCCCAUUCAGUAUGAUAUUGGCUGUGGGUUUUUCAUAUAUAGCUCUUCUUAUUUUGAGAUAUGUCCCACCAAUACCUAGUUCAUGGAGAGUUUUUAACAUGAGGGGAUGUUGAAUUUUAUCAAAGGCCUUUUCUGUGCCUAUUGAGAUAAUCAUGUGGUUUUUGUCAUUAGUUCUGUUUAUGUGAUGGAUUACAUUUAUUGAUUUGUGUAUGUUGGACCAGCCCUGCAUCUCACAGAUGAAGCUGACUUGAUCAUGGUAAAUCAGGGAUUUCCUCUUGGUUUGGAUCCUUUGCUGUUUUCUUCUUCAUGCACAGACAGGCACCAAUUUGAAGCUUAAUGACAGCAGAAACAGAGAACAACUACUAACUAAGAGUAUUUUUAAUACAGUGCUGAAGAGCCAGCUGAACUGGCUUUGUAGAUCAUCCUCAGGAAACUGACGGUCAGGCCUCCUGUAUGACACCAGGGAGCUGAGGCUUUAUGGAUUGGAUCACUGCACCCAAUGAGACACACCUGCUGCCUGUCGAACCAACCCUCUUCCUAGCUCCUCCAUAAUUCCUUUUUUUCCUGCACGUGAUUACAGUGAGAUGCUAGAUCCCUCAUUCAGCUACCUGCUGCCUGUUGACCAGCUCCUCUUCCUCUCCCCCGGCCCUGGUUCUUCUUCCAAGCUAUUAGGUGAAAGCAAAAGUAAUUGCGGUUUUUGCAUUGUUGAAAUUUGCCAUUUGAUAUUGGGAUACAUUUUUAAAUAAAUGUGGUUAUGUUAUACAUAAUUUUAAUGGGCAUUUCUCACUUUAUUUUUUUUACUGAUGAC
rnacentral:lncRNA from 1 species